UCUCAUGGAGCUGCACAUUUUGAGUGGUAAAAUUUCAAGGUGAACAUCAACCUUCAAGGUCUAGGGUCGAAAAAACAAAGUCAAGGGAAGUAAUAAGCUUUAAAUGGACAUAGUUAUCUGACCUGCCCACGUAUAUAUUUUUGUUAAAUAAAUCAAAGCGGCGCAGUAGGCGGCAUUGUGUUUCUGACAAACACAUUGUGGUAAAAGGUCAAGGUCAUCCUUUACGGUCUACGGUAAAAAAUACAGAUUUAAGGGAAGAAAUAAGCUUUAAAAAGGGAGAAAAUUAUUCAAUAUUGAACAUAGCCACUUUAUAUAUUUGGCAUGCAUGUGUAUCUCAUGGAGCUGCACAGUUUGAGUGGUGAAUCUACAGUCACGCUAGUGGCUUUUAAUUAUUUGCUACUAAAAAUAGAGAUUUGUUACAGACAAUUAUUUUCAAGGGAAGUAAUUUAUAUAAUUAUAAAUCUCAUAUUAUAUAUUUCCUUACCAAGAAUUGAAGUUCUUUUCACAGUUACUGUACAGAUUUAUUAUUUUGAUUAUUUAUAACCCAAAUGAUUGAUUUGUCAAAGUUUUUAUACGCCCGUAUAAAAUACGGGACGUAUUAUGUGAAACCCCUUGGCGGGCGGGCGGGCGGCGGGCGGAAGGCAUCACUUUGUCCGGACUCUAAUUCAAAUUGUAUUCAUCCGAUCUUCACCAAACUUGGUCAGCAGUUGCAUCUAGUUGAUAUCUAGGCCAAGUUCGAAUAUGGGUCAUGCCGGGUCAAAAACUAGGUCAUAGGGUCAAUAAGUGCAUUUUCAAAGGGGCCACUUUGUCCGGACUCUAUUUCAAAUUGUAUUCAUCCGAUCUUCACCAAACUUGGUCAGCAGUUGCAUCUAGUUGAUAUAUAGGCCAAGUUCGAAUAUGGGUCAUGCCGGGUCAAAAACUAGGUCAUAGGGUCAAUUAGUGCAUUUUCAACGGCGCCACUUUGUCCGGACUCUAAUUCAAAUUGUAUUCAUCCGAUCUUCACCAAACUUGGUCAGUAGUUGCAUCUAGUUGAUAUCUAGGUCAAGUCCGAAUAUGGGUCAUGCUGGGUCAAAAACUAGGUCAAAGGGUCAAUUAGUGCAUUUUACUUUGUCCGGACUCUAAUUCAAAUUGUAUAAAUCUUAUCUUCACCAAACUUGGUCAGUAGUUGCAUCUAGUUGAUAUCUAGGCCAAGUUCGAAUAUGGGUCAUGCCAGGUAAAAAACUAGGUCAAAGGGUCAAUUAGUCCAUUUUCAACAGCGCCACUUUGUCCGGACUCUUAUUCAAAUUGUAUUCAUCCGAUCUUUACCAAACUUGGUCAGUAGUUGCAUCUAGUUGAUAUCUAGGUCAAGUCCGAAUAUGGGUCAUGCUGGGUCAAAAACUAGGUCAAAGGGUCAAUUAGUGCAUUUUACUUUGUCCGGACUCUAAUUCAAAUUGUAUAAAUCUUAUCUUCACCAAACUUGGUCAGUAGUUGCAUCUAGUUGAUAUCUAGGCCAAGUUCGAAUAUGGGUCAUGCCAGGUAAAAAACUAGGUCAUAGGGUCAAUUAGUCCAUUUUCAACAGCGCCACUUUGUCCGGACUCUUAUUCAAAUUGUAUUCAUCCGAUCUUUACCAAACUUGGUCAGUAGUUGCAUCUAGUUGAUAUCUAGGUCAAGUUCGAAUAUGGGUCAUGUCGGGUCAAGAACUAGGUCAUAGGGUCAAUUAGUGCAUUUUCAACGGCGCCACUUUGUCCGGACUCUAAUUCAAAUUGUAUUCAUCCGAAACUUUUAAACAACUUUUUAUCCUGCGUCAAAGUGGUAUGGGGGUCUAAACAAUUAUGAUUUAAAUAUUGUGUUUUAGAGAACAAAUGAGACUAAGUGUACACUUAUUGAUAUCAAUGCAUAUAUAUGAAUAUAUCAGUUAUAUAA